rnacentral:rRNA from 1 species
CCUACGGGGCGCACCAGUGGGGAAUAUUGCACAAUGGGCGCAAGCCUGAUGCAGCCAUGCCGCGUGUAUGAAGAAGGCCUUCGGGUUGUAAAGUACUUUCAGCGGGGAGGAAGGUGUUGUGGUUAAUAACCACAGCAAUUGACGUUACCCGCAGAAGAAGCACCGGCUAACUCCGUGCCAGCAGCCGCGGUAAUACGGAGGGUGCAAGCGUUAAUCGGAAUUACUGGGCGUAAAGCGCACGCAGGCGGUCUGUCAAGUCGGUUGUGAAAUCCCCGGGCUCAACCUGGGAACUGCAUUCGGAACUGGCAGGCUAGAGUCUUGUAGAGGGGGGUAGAAUUCCAGGUGUAGCGGUGAAAUGCGUAGAGAUCUGGAGGAAUACCGGUGGCGAAGGCGGCCCCCUGGACAAAGACUGACGCUCAGGUGCGAAAGCGAGGGGAGCAAACAGGAUUAGAUACCCUAGUAGUC